rnacentral:rRNA from 1 species
AGAGUUUGAUCCUGGCUCAGAACGAACGCUGGCGGCAUGCCUAACACAUGCAAGUCGGACGCUUUUGCGGUUUCGGCCGCAAGGGAGUGGCGGACGGGUGAGUAGCGCGUGGGAACCUGCCCCUCUGUGGGGGAUAACCGAGGGAAACUUCGGCUAAUACCGCAUGCGCCCCCGGAGUUGAUCCGGGGGGAAAGAUUUAUCGCAGAGGGAGGGGCCCGCGUCGGAUUAGGUAGUUGGUGGGGUAACGGCCCACCAAGCCGAUGAUCCGUAGCUGGUCUGAGAGGAUGAUCAGCCACACUGGGACUGAGACACGGCCCAGACUCCUACGGGAGGCAGCAGUGGGGAAUAUUGGACAAUGGGCGCAAGCCUGAUCCAGCAAUGCCGCGUGAGUGAUGAAGGCCUUAGGGUUGUAAAGCUCUUUCGGCGGGGACGAUGAUGACGGUACCCGCAGAGGAAGCCCCGGCUAACUUCGUGCCAGCAGCCGCGGUAAUACGAAGGGGGCGAGCGUUGUUCGGAUUUACUGGGCGUAAAGGGCGCGUAGGCGGCGGACCAAGUCGAGUGUGAAAGCCCCGGGCUC